AUAUUGCACAAUGGGCGCAAGCCUGAUGCAGCCAUGCCGCGUGUAUGAAGAAGGCCUUCGGGUUGUAAAGUACUUUCAGCGAGGAGGAAGGCAUUGUGGUUAAUAACCGCAGUGAUUGACGUUACUCGCAGAAGAAGCACCGGCUAACUCCGUGCCAGCAGCCGCGGUAAUACGGAGGGUGCAAGCGUUAAUCGGAAUUACUGGG
rnacentral:rRNA from 1 species